UUUCCGGUUGAUCCCGCCGGAAGUCACUGCUAUCGGGGUUCGAUUAAGCCAUGCGAGUCGAGAGGGUUCGGCCCUCGGCGUACUGCUCAGUAACACGUGGAUAACCUGCCCUAAGGAAGGGGAUAACCCCGGGAGACUGGGGAUAAUACCCUAUAGGUUAUAGAUGCUGGAAUGCUCUGUAACUCAAAGUUCCGGCGCCUUAGGAUGGAUCUGCGGCCGAUUAGGUUGUUGUUGGGGUAAUGGCCCAACAAGCCUGUAAUCGGUACGGGUUGUGGGAGCAAGAGCCCGGAGUUGGAUUCUGAGACACGAAUCCAGGCCCUACGGGGCGCAGCAGGCGCGAAAACUUUACAAUGCGGGCAACCGUGAUAAGGGAACCUCGAGUGCCUGUAUAUGCAGGCUGUCCAGGUGUCUAAAACACACCUGAAGAAAGGGCCGGGCAAGACCGGUGUCAGCCGCCGCGGUAAUACCGGCGGCUCGAGUGGUGGCCACUUUUAUUGGGCUUAAAGCGUUCGUAGCUGGGUUGUUAAGUCUCUUGGGAAAUCUGGCGGCUUAACCGUCAGGCGUCUAAGGGAUACUGGCAAUCUUGGAACCGGGAGAGGUGAGGGGUACUUCGGGGGUAGGAGUGAAAUCCUGUAAUCCUCGAGGGACCACCUGUGGCGAAGGCGCCUCACCAGAACGGCUUCGACAGUGAGGGACGAAAGCUGGGGGAGCAAACCGGAUUAGAUACCCGGGUAGUCCCAGCCGUAAACGAUGUGCGUUAGGUGUAUCGACGACCACGAGUCGUCGAGGUGCCGAAGGGAAACCGUGAAACGUACCGCCUGGGAAGUACGGUCGCAAGGCUGAAACUUAAAGGAAUUGGCGGGGGAGCACCACAACAGGUGGAGCCUGCGGUUUAAUUGGAUUCAACGCCGGG
rnacentral:rRNA from 1 species